UACGGAGGGUGCGAGCGUUGUCCGGAAUCAUUGGGCGUAAAGGGCGCGUAGGUGGCGCGGCAAGCGUGCGGUGAAAGCUCGGGGCUCAACCCCGAGUCGGCCGUGCGAACUGCUGGGCUUGAGCACUGUAGAGGCAGGCGGAAUUCCGGGUGUAGCGGUGGAAUGCGUAGAGAUCCGGAAGAACACCGGUGGCGAAGGCGGCUUGCCAGAACGCGCUCGACGGUGAGGGAUGAAAGCUGGGGGAGCAAACCGGG
rnacentral:rRNA from 1 species